rnacentral:rRNA from 1 species
AGAGUUUGAUCAUGGCUCAGGACGAACGCUGGCGGCGUGCUUAACACAUGCAAGUCGAGCGGUAAGGCCCUUUCGGGGGUACACGAGCGGCGAACGGGUGAGUAACACGUGGGUGACCUGCCCUCAGCUCUGGGAUAAGCCCGGGAAACUGGGUCUAAUACCGGAUAGGACACAUCGGCGCAUGUUGGUGUGUGGAAAGAUUCGGUUCGGCUGGGGAUGGGCCCGCGGCCUAUCAGCUUGUUGGUGGGGUGAUGGCCUACCAAGGCGGUGACGGGUAGCCGGCCUGAGAGGGCGACCGGCCACACUGGGACUGAGACACGGCCCAGACUCCUACGGGAGGCAGCAGUGGGGAAUAUUGCGCAAUGGGCGGAAGCCUGACGCAGCGACGCCGCGUGGGGGAUGACGGCCUUCGGGUUGUAAACCUCUUUCGCCAGGGACGAAGCUUUUGUGACGGUACCUGGAUAAGAAGCACCGGCCAACUACGUGCCAGCAGCCGCGGUAAUAC